rnacentral:rRNA from 1 species
GUGCCAGCAGCCGCGGUAAUACGUAGGGUGCGAGCGUUGUCCGGAAUUAUUGGGCGUAAAGAGCUCGUAGGCGGUGUGUCGCGUCGGUCGUGAAAACUUGGGGCUUAACCCUGAGCUUGCGGUCGAUACGGGCAUCACUGGAGUUCGGCAGGGGAGACUGGAAUUCCUGGUGUAGCGGUGAAAUGCGCAGAUAUCAGGAGGAACACCGGUGGCGAAGGCGGGUCUCUGGGCCGAUACUGACGCUGAGGAGCGAAAGCGUGGGGAGCGAACAGGAUUAGAUACCCUGGUAGUCC